AGCAGCCGCGGUAAUUCCAGCUCCAAUAGCGUAUAUUAAAGUUGUUGCAGUUAAAAGCUCGUAGUUGAAUUUCGGGGUCAGCAAGUUGGUCGUGCCACUGGUAUGUACUGGCUUUGCUGAUUCCUCCUUCUUGUGGAACCGUAAUGCCAUUAAGUUGGUGUUGCGGGAGAACAGGACUGUUACUUUGAAAAAUUGAGUGUUUAAAGCAGGCUAACGCUUGAAUACAUUAGCAUGGAAUAAUGAAAUAGGACGACGAUCCUAUUUUGUUGGUUUCUAGGAUUGACGUAAUGAUUAAUAGGGAUAGUUGGGGGCAUUAGUAUUCAAUUGUCAGAGGUGAAAUUCUUGGAUUUAUUGAAGACUAACUACUGCGAAAGCAUUUGCCAAGGAUGUU
rnacentral:misc_RNA from 1 species